GUCACUUAUGAACUCAUUCCAUUCACGUGAUACAAGCUUAUGUUGUAAACAGCAAUCACCCACUAAUUUGAUUCUCUCUUUAUGGUUUUUGAUUGAAAUGUAAACUGUUUCCAUAUAAGUAUACAAAUGUGUAGGAUUCUAUAUAAGUGGUGGUAGACUCCAUCAUCCUUAUCAAACCACCCCAGCCCUUAGCAACAUAUUUAACAUCAAUCAAACAUGUGUAUCUGUGUCAAAUGCGGAUGCUUUAGCUGCAAACAUGAAACCCCCGCGAAAGCCGAUGAUGAGAAUCAAGAAACCGGCUUUCUCGACGUUAUGCUCGCAAUCUUUCUGCCCCCAGUUGCGAUAUAUAAAAAGGAAAAAGGUUGCACGGCCAAAUUCUGGGUAAAUAUAUUGCUCUCGUCCGUGGCAGUUGUGCCAGGAAGCAUCCAUGCCGCCAUCGUCAUAUCAUCUUGAAGUGAAAGAUAUUGUGAAGUUAGAUAUGGUCCUUUUUCGUGUUACUACUCAUUUUAAUCCUCAACAAACAAACUAUGUAGUGCUACGUAAGAUUUGAUGUCCUUUACUGCUGAAUCCUUGUUUUGUGGCUCAGGGUCUAUUGGCUCGACAACGGCAUUGUUGGUGCUAAUUGUUACCUGGAAAAGAAAUGGUUGGUGAAUAAAAUUUAUGUAAUGUUUGGUAGAA